UUUCAUUCCUUUUCAUCUUGAUCUUCUUCCCCUUCCCUUUCCUCUUUCAAUAUGUAAUAAUCCCAUGGAUAUGCAUGUGGUUAACUAACCUGAUAUAUGUAAAACAAAAUCAAUAUAUUCUGUUAAAAUUAUUGCAAAAUUAAGAAAUUACAUAUCGAGAUUAAUAGUUAAGAGUAUUGAAAAGAAAAAUCAUAUUUUUGGGGAAGCCCUUAAUUUGGAGAGGGUUGAGAUGAAGAAAAAGUGAUAUGGAGAAAAUAUUUUUAUAAAUUGUUCUGAAGGUAUUAACCUGUGAAUGAAUAUGAAGUCGCUUCUGUUUUCGAAAUCCACUGUCACAUCCUUCUUCGCAGUGUUACUAGGGUUCGUUUCUGACACUGCCUUUAGCUUCAAGGUGCUCAUCGAUGAUGACGACGGAGAAGAAGAAGGAGGAUGAUGAGAGUAAGAGGAAGG
rnacentral:lncRNA from 1 species